rnacentral:rRNA from 1 species
CAGCCGCGGUAACACCGGCAGCUCUAGUGGUAGCUGUUUUAUUGGGCCUAAAGCGUUCGUAGCCGGUUUAAUAAGUCUCUGGUGAAAUCCUAUAGCUUAACUGUGGGAAUUGCUGGAGAUACUAUUAGGCUUGAGAUCGGGAGAGGUCAGAGGUACUCCUGGGGUAGGGGUGAAAUCCUGUAAUCCUAGGAGGACCACCUGUGGCGAAGGCGUCUGACUAGAACGAAUCUGACGGUGAGGAACGAAAGCUAGGGGCGCGAACCGGAUUAGAUACCCGGGUAGUCCUAGCCGUAAACUAUGCGGACUUGGUGUGAGGGUGGCUUUGAGCCGUCCUGGUGCCGAAGGGAAGCUGUUAAGUCCGCCGCCUGGGAAGUACGGUCGCAAGACUGAACUUAAAGGAAUUGGCGGGGGAGCACCACAACGCGUGGAGCCUGCGGUUUAAUUGGAUUCAACGCCGGAGAUCUCACCAGCGGCGACAGCAGUAUGAUGACCAGGUUGAUGACUUUGUUUGACAAGCUGAGAAGAGGUGCAUGG